AUUGAACGCUGGCGGCAGGCCUAACACAUGCAAGUCGAGCGAGUGGCGGACGGGUGCGUAAUGUCUGGGAAACUGCCUGAUGGAGGGGGAUAACUACUGGAAACGGUAGCUAAUACCGCAUACCAUCAGAUGUGCCCAGAUGGGAUUAGCUUGUUGGUGGGGUAAUGGCUCACCUAGGCGACGAUCCCUAGCUGGUCUGAGAGGAUGACCAGCCACACUGGAACUGAGACACGGUCCAGACUCCUACGGGAGGCAGCAGUGGGGAAUAUUGCACAAUGGGCGCAAGCCUGAGGCAGCCAUGCCGCGGGUAUGAAGAGGGCCUUAGGGUGGUAAAGCACUUUCAGCGGGGAGGCGUUACUCGCAGAAGAAGCACCGGCUAACUCCGGGCCAGCAGCCGCGGUAAUAC
rnacentral:rRNA from 1 species